AUUGAACGCUGGCGGCAGGCCUAACACAUGCAAGUCGAGCGGAUGAAGGGAGCUUGCUCCUGGAUUCAGCGGCGGACGGGUGAGUAAUGCCUAGGAAUCUGCCUGGUAGUGGGGGAUAACGUCCGGAAACGGGCGCUAAUACCGCAUACGUCCUGAGGGAGAAAGUGGGGGAUCUUCGGACCUCACGCUAUCAGAUGAGCCUAGGUCGGAUUAGCUAGUUGGUGGGGUAAAGGCCUACCAAGGCGACGAUCCGUAACUGGCCUGAGAGGAUGAUCAGUCACACUGGAACUGAGACACGUUCCAGACUCCUACGGGAGGCAGCAGUGGGGAAUAUUGGACAAUGGGCGAAAGCCUGAUCCAGCCAUGCCGCGUGUGUGAAGAAGGUCUUCGGAUUGUAAAGCACUUUAAGUUGGGAGGAAGGGCAGUAAGUUAAUACCUUGCUGUUUUGACGUUACCAACAGAAUAAGCACCGGCUAACUUCGUG
rnacentral:rRNA from 1 species